rnacentral:rRNA from 1 species
AGUGAACGCUGGCGGUAGGCCUAACACAUGCAAGUCGAACGGCAGCACAGUAAGAGCUUGCUCUUACGGGUGGCGAGUGGCGGACGGGUGAGGAAUACAUCGGAAUCUACUUUUUCGUGGGGGAUAACGUAGGGAAACUUACGCUAAUACCGCAUACGACCUACGGGUGAAAGCAGGGGAUCUUCGGACCUUGCGCGAUUGAAUGAGCCGAUGUCGGAUUAGCUAGUUGGCGGGGUAAAGGCCCACCAAGGCGACGAUCCGUAGCUGGUCUGAGAGGAUGACCACCCAAACUGGAACUGGGACACGGCCCAAACCCCUAGGGGGGGCAGCAGUGGGGAAUUUUGGAAAAUGGGCGCAAGCCUGCACCAGCCAACCCGGGUGGGGAAAAAAGGCCUGCGGUUUGUAAAGCCCUUUUGUUGGGAAAGAAAAGCAGCAGGUUAAUACCCCGCUGUUCUGACGGUACCCAAAGAAUAAGCACCGGCUAACUUCGU